rnacentral:tRNA from 1 species
UCCUGGUGGCUCAGAUGGUAAAGAAUCUGCCUGCGAUGCAGGAGAUCCAAGUUCAAUUCCUGGGUCGGGAA